UACGUAGGGUCCGAGCAUUGUCCGGAAUUAUUGGGCGUAAAGGGCUCGUAGGCGGUUCGUCACGUCGGGAGUGAAAACUCGGAGCUUAACUCCGAGCCUGCUUCCGAUACGGGCAGACUAGAGGUAGGCAGGGGAGAGCGGAACUCCUGGUGUAGCGGUGGAAUGCGCAGAUAUCAGGAAGAACACCGGUGGCGAAGGCGGCUCUCUGGGCCUUACCUGACGCUGAGGAGCGAAAGCGUGGGUAGCGAACAGG
rnacentral:rRNA from 1 species